CUUGUACCACUUGAUGUCCCACAUCAUUUGCAUGGCCGCACCAGAUAUCCUCCAAGCAGUGUUUUCGUUGUUUGCUACUGUAAAUGCUGCUAAGUGUAAAAUGGUGUUUUCAUUGAUAUCAACUUGUUGAUUUAUGCUCUGAAAGGUUUCCAUAGAAAGCCUCUUCCACAACCCUUCAACAACUUGUGGCUGUCUAUAUUUCACUGCUAUAAGUAAUGCAUUUUCGUUGUCAGAGUUAGUUUCAUGGAUCACACUUUUUAGAUUAGAUUCAAGUGCAAGCAUGAUUUCGGUUAUGCCAUGUUUUGCUGCACGCAAAUAUGCUGUAUCAUUUGUGUCACUUUUCUUUGCUUCUAAUUCCUUCAUUGCUACAAGUAAUAAGCCUUUCUUGUCAGAUGCCUUUACUUUUGAAUUAAGCUCAUCCAUAAUUUCAGUGACACCACUUCUUGCUACUGCCAAAUAUAUCGUAUCUUUUUCAACAUUUUUUGCUGAAUCUUCCAAUUUUUGAUUUUCUUCUCUCUCUUGUUUUGAUUUACUUUCUGAAUCCUCUGCAAUACACAACUAUGAUUGUUAUACUCCCUCUGUUCUAUAAUAAAUUAUUUGUUUGAAAAUGUGUAUUAUUGACCUAACAUACUUUGACUAUAUUUUAUACUAAUAUAUAAAGAUAAAUAAUAUCAUAUAAGAUGCCGUUGGAUUCGUCUUGAUUAAUAUAUUUAAAAUAUCAAAUUUUCAUAAUUAUUUUUUAUAUAUUUGUAAAGUUAUGCAAAAUUAUGGGAUGGAGGGAGUACUACUUUUUUUUAGCGAAACAAAUUAUAUUACUUCACACAAAUUAAAGAUAAAUUAUAAAUAGAGAAAGAUAUAUAUAUCUUUUUUGAUAAUAACUUUUUUUUUUAUUCUUAACUAGUGCGUCCGGGACACCGGUUAGCAUUGAAAAAAAAUUAGCAAAUUAAAUAUACUAAUCGGUCAUGUGAAAUUGCUAAUUAACAAGUGUCAUAGUUCCUCUAAAAAUAGAAGUUUUUUUAUAUUGGAAAUAAGAACUUUUAAACUUUAAUAAAGUUGAAUACAAUUGAAGAGAAUAUUACUACGUUUAUUUAUUUAAUGUGUGUAUUUUAGAAUCGUUAGUAAAAUUAAUUUACUCUUUCCGUUUAUUUUUUUUUAAGGAUAUUCUUUCUAGGGAUGACAAAAAGGGUCAAUUCGCUCAACCUAUUCCCGUCCCAUGAAUAAUCCAUCUAAAUACGGCGCAGAGUAGGGUGGGUCAACUGGAGAUAUAGGUUAGAAAAUCUUACUCCUUCCCGUUUUAUGGCGGGCCAUCAAAUUGGCAGGUUGACCCGUCAGUGUUUCUAAAAAAAUAUAUAUUUUAAUUAAAAACUUCACAUUAAUAUGUAAAAAUAUAUAAAUUUAAAGAAAAUUUAAAGAAGUAUAAAUAUAUAACUAAUGAAUCCACUAAAAAUAUGAAAUAAUCAUUCAAACAUAUAAUUACAACAUCUAAAAAUAUAGAGUAAAUCAAUAAAAAAAAUCAAAAUAAAAAGUUCAUGAGUUAUUAAUUGACUAAGUGUUAAAAAUAUGAGGUUAAAAUCAUGAACCAAAAGUGAUAAAAUUAAUUAAAUUAUUCCCCCUACUAUACAGAGGAGAAAAUUAGAAAAUUGAUUGUGACUUAUAAAUAAAAAAACGUGUAAAAGUGAGUUUGUAUUUAAUAUAUCAAUCCAACAGGUCAAUCCGCCUUGCCUCGUGACUGCCCUAGGUUUUAGCGGGUUAUGCGGAGCGGGUACCCUACCAGCGAUGGGUCCAAAAUUUCAACCCACCCCACUAAAAAAAUAUAAGUAAAUACGUCCAACCAAUUUUUUCAUUUGAGAUAAUAAUUAAUAAUAUAUAGUUGUUUGACUAUCUAUACUAUUUACGCAAUCUAUUUUGACCAUAUUAUUUUACUAAUAUAUAAGGACAAUUAUUAGUACAUCUUUUUUUAAAGAUGAAGGAUACAGUUAUUAGUACAUAAAAUGUUUGAUUUGUCUUAAUGAAUAUUUUCAAGAUAUUAAUAUUUUUAGUAAUAGAUAAUUAAAGAUAUUAAUGAUCAUAGUUAUGUAUUGAUAUGUGUGAAGUGGUAACAUGCAAUUAAGAACCGACAUAGUUAUUAAGUCAUUUUUUGAUCGAAAAUAGAUUUUUUGUUCUUACUAUCUUUCUGUUGAUCAAGCCAGAAAUUUUCAACACUAUCAUUUUUCUCUUUUAUUUCUUCAUCAUGUGCUCCGUAAUCAAAGGGAUUUACCCCACCACACAUGUAUGAUUCAUAAGGAUCUUUCAUAAAUGCUUCCAAGAGCUGGCUACCGCAUAUGUGGUUCUUCUUAACCCUCUUUAUUGCCCCUAAGUUUGCAAAAGUAAUUAAAUUUAGCAAAAUUAAUUAAGUGCGUGCACAAAGAAAAAUAACAAUGGUAAAAAAAUAAUGUCAUCCCAUGAGCAUAACUCAAUUGACAAGAACAUUGCAGUAUAUAGGAGCUGAGGUUUGAACUUGAAAUUUCUCACUUAUUGACUUUAAAUGCUAAAUUUUAAACCAAUUGAUUGCACGACGACGACAACAACAACAAGUAGAAUAAUGUUGUAUCAUUAAUUAGCUUAUUUUGCACCAUUAAAUUAAUAGAUCACAUCAUAUAUAUCACUUAAUCUAUUGAGAAUUAUUGAUUGAAUUGUAUAUGAUGAUCUCCAUUGAGUAACACAAUGGUAGGCCACAAAUUAAAUCAUGUAAAAUUAAAGGUUGAGUUGUUCAAUAUACAUACCCAACAAUGACUGAGUAGACCAUCUUUUUCUUGGUGAUGAAAACAGGAUAUGCCAUAUGGUGAAUACAGACAUUUGAACCCAGGAACAUAAAAUUUUAGCAGUAAAAUCUAGUCGAGCAAGAGUAUGUUGUACUUUGCCUGCUUUUUCUAAUUCAUCAACAUUGUAUAAUGGUAUUCUUUGAUCACCUUUCUCUGCAGUAUAUAUUAAUAGGUUAGUAAUAUAGUCAACCACAUCAAAAUAUCAUCACUAAAAUUAUCAUAUGCGAAAUUGUUUAAAAAUAAGGAGACAAAUAAAUAUUAAUUAAAAUGAUGAUGAUGAUUAUAAUAAUAAUAAUAAUAAUAAUAAUAAUAAUAAUAAUAAUUAUUAUUAUUAUUAUUAUUAUUAUUAUUAUUAUUAUUAUUAUUAUUGAUAGGUCUUUAAUAAUUUACAACUUAAUCCAUAUUCAGGUUAUGAGAUUAGUCAACUCUUACCACUAAAUUGACUCCUUAUAGAUAUUAAUAAUCAAUAUUUCAAAAAAUAUAUUUACUAAUAAUAUUCGAUUUUUACUUACUUUAUAAGAAAAUUAUUUUCUCACGGAUAUCAAAACAAAAUAAAAAGAAUUAAGGACAAACUUCGCACAAAUUUCAAACGGAAUAUUGAUUUUAGAGAUAUUUCAAACGAACCAUCUCUUAUAACACACGUGCUGUAAAUUGAAUAAUUUUAUCUCAAAUUUAUCACAAGUUCGUUUGAAAGUUAAAUGUAAAUUUUGACAAAACUCAUUCAUUAGAAUGGAGAAAAAAUGGUAUCAAUAUUGACAACUUACAAAAUCAUAUGCAUUCUCAAAGUCUACCUUCAAACUAAAGCACUUUUCGCUUUGUUUGUUUUGGAGGUAGAGCUUGUGGAGGAGUGUAUAGAUUUAUUAUCCAAUAUCACUAUGCACGAUGAUGCGAAUGAUAUUUGGAUUUGAGAAUUUAAUAUUGAAGAUUUGUUCUCCGUAAAAGAAGAUUAUGCGUUGGUAUCAAAUUUUGAAAUUGAAUCAGAUUCUCCUUUAUUUAGAGUUAAUUGGACUAAUUUGAUUUCAUUGAAGAUUUUGUUGUAUACAUUGAGAUUACUAAAUAAUCGCCUCACAACUCAAAUUAAUUUAAUCCACCGAGGGGUACAAAAUCUAACAUCUCAUAUGUGUGUGGAAUGAUGUAAUUUAAACAAAACAUCCAAAAAUUUGUUUUUUCGUUAUCCUAUUAUGGGCUAACUAUGGUAGGAUGCUCUAUUUGGUUAGGCAUCAGCUUGUAUGUUGAUAGACUAUACCUCUUGUAAUGUUGUCAAAUGUAUAGGUUUGGUAUCUUAUGGUUAACAAUUACAUGAAUGUGGUCAAUUUAGAAGCAGCGUAACCAUGUGGUUUUCGAUUAUAAGGAACAUUUAUCAUGUUUACCCUUUGACAUGGUUGCACUAUUGGUAUUGUCAUGGAUUAAGUGUAAAGUUGAUGGCUUUUCUUAUGAUUAUAUUUAUGUAGCAUUAAACCACUCAAAUGUUUAUGAGUAAUUCUUUUUGUUACUUUAUUACAACAUUCGUUUCUAAUUAUAGGGCCCUCUUGAAAAAAUAACAAAAAUUAAGAAAAUUAAAAGUGUUAAUAAAUUUGUUUGUAAUUGUUAUUGUUUUUACAAUUUUAUCCUUUAAGAGAUAUGAUUAGGGUACUAGGAAAUAUCAAAGGGAUUCUAUAAAGAGACAAUUUCUUUCUUAAAAGGGUUUUAUAUAUGGGGACAGAUGUAGUAUCAAUUUUCAUUUUGGAUUAAUGCUAUUCUUACCUUGGUGCCUUUUCUGUAAUAUUUGAUUACCGUAUCUUUUUAAUCUUAAUUUUUCUUUGACUAUUGUAUCUUUUUCAAUCGUUGACCUUUUAGAAAAAACCAAUUUAUUUACGAAAAAAAUACGAGAACUAUUAAUAUAGUUCACAAAUUACUAAACAUUACAUAAUGACCAUGGCUAGAGGUAUCAUAAUAGUCAAUUCAUUGAAAACAUACCUUGGUCUGCAACGUCUUCAACAUCAUCGUAUAAUUUAAUUCUAGUUCUUGGAUCUGUGACUUUGACAGAAACACCUUUGACAACAAAAUUUUAUAAAAAACAUUUAGACCUCCUUUAUUUUGAUGACUUUUGGCAUAAAAGUAAAACAAUGCAAGUAAAUUUCCUUUAGACUUCCAAAAUACAUGAAUUUAAAGAUUUAUCUUUUAAUUAUUCCUCUUUAUUAACUUUUCUUUUGAACAACAAACAACUCAUAUUAUGUAGUAGUAACAAUUCAACAAACAAAAUACAUGUGGCUUUUCUAAAAGUAAACUGUAUGAGGCUAUUACAAAGUAAGUGGAGUGAAACACGACAGUUCUAAUACUUUACACCAUCUUUAUUCUUUAAUCCUAGAUCUGAAUUAUAAGCACUUGUAUUACAUGUAUUUCCUGAGUCUUGUUAUUUUGGAUAGGAAUUUGGUAUUGAAAUAGUUGUGGUUAUUAGCAUACUUAUUUAUUAAUUUGCUACUUUAUCCGUUCUUGUGAUUGGACUAGUUAUUAAUACAUGUAGCUAGGUUGUGGCAAUACAAGAAGGUUUAUGGAAAUUAAAAUGAGAAAAAAUAUUAACCUAUAUAUAAAUAUAAAUAUAUAAUAAUAACAAUAACAACGAUAACAAUAACAACGAUGAUGAUAAUAAUAAUAAUAAUAAUAAUAAUAAUAAUAAUAAUAAUAAUAAUAAUAAUAAUAAACCACCGUUUUAGUUUUACUAGUCAGAUAAUAUAUAAUUAUUUAAGAGAAUAAAGGUACUUCAAUUGAUCUUUUACAAAAUAACAUAGUUAGAAGAAAUUAAAAAGUCUUUUUUUUUUACUCAAACAAAUUAAAAAGUCUAAGCAAAAAUACAUCAUGUAAAACCAUAUGUGAAGCUCAUACAUACCUAAAUAGAGGAAACAAGAAAUCAACACAUUACUAUUAAUGAAGUCAGAGUCAUUCUAACUUGUGUCAUUUGAACAGAAGUUAACUAGGUAAAAUGAAAAUUAAAAAAAAAGAUAUGUAUUAAGAAUAGAAUUUUUUAGACUUUCGAGAUAUUGAAUAUACAAUUUUUAUAUUUAGUUUUCAACCUUAUAUCUUAAUGUCACAUGUUAACAUUUUCAAUAAAAGAAAGGUCAAAUGCAUCUAAAGGUCCUUUAAAUUUUUUGUUUUUUUCAAAGUGGUCCUUUAAGUUUCAAAAGUCUCAAACAAGUUCUUUUAGUUUUUGAAUCGUUUCAAACAAGUCCUAUUAUAGAUAGCAUACUUGGUAAUUGCUUCCUUGAACUCAUCUUUGGUACCAAAUCUGGCUCCUAACACCCACUUAAAAUUAGUCAUCUUUUUAGGCAUGGAAAAUGGUGGAUAAUGCUCUUUGUUGCUAUCAUUUGAAUCAUCACCACCAUCCUCUAAAAGGACUUGUUUGAAACGAUUCAAAAACUAAAAGGACUUGUUUGGGACUUUUGAAACUCAAAGGACUUGUCUGGAACUUUUGAAACUUAAAGGACCACUUUCGGAAAAACGAAAAAACUUAAAGGACCUUUAGAUGCAUUUAGGCAUGGCAAUGGGGCUGGGUGGGGAUGAGUUUUACCUUCCCCGUCCCCAUACCAGAUUCUAAUAUACGUACCAGUUACCCUACCCAUACCCAACGGGAAAUUCAAUCCCAUCCCCGUCCCCGACGGGUUCGGGUAUCCCCACCCCAUCCCCAUCCCGUAUCGAAUAAUUUUUUUUAAUAAAAAAUAGAAGUUUUUUUGCAUCCCCAAGAGCAACGUUGUAAUACAUUAUCCAACAAUAUGCCCACUUUAACAUUUGUUAGAUGGAAUGAUUUAGUUGAUCCUUUAAAUAUCAAUGGUAGUUUUUAUUAACAUGACAAUUAUCAAGCAAAAUAACAUGACAUAUCAACAUAAAAUAAUUUUUUACAUUUGGGACGGGUAUGAGUAGGGUUCGGGGUGGGUACCUAUAUACCCAUUACCCGUGUUUUGAAAUCGGGGAAAACCCAUACCCAUAUCCAAACCCAGUCAAAACGGAGAAAAUCCGUCAAAUUGGAUUUGGUUCCAGCAGGUAACCGCUGGUAUGGAUUUUGUUGCCAUGCCUAGAUGCAUUUGACCUAGCUAAAAGAAACAUCAUCAACCUUUAACCUUUGCUUAGAAUCAUUUUUAAGAUAACGGUAUAAUGUAAUACCAUAAAGAAUAACUUUGGCACCAACCUUAAAAAGAUAACGCACAUUCCAUGAUUCAUAGAUGAACCAAAAAAUCCAUGAGAACAAAUUUCUCGAUGAUUCUUAGAUUAACCAAAAAUUACAUUCCUCCCUUGACCCACGAAUAAUAUAAGUAAUAAAAGUCAGGGAGUCAAAUACUAAGGCUCCACUCUAUACAUUUAAGGAAUCACUUAAAUAAUAAGUCUUCAAUUGAAAUUUAUGCCUCCCCGUACUAUAAAUAACCUUUCAUCAAACAACUCAUUACCAUACUAGUGACAUUUUGUGUAAGGGGGGGAUAAAAUCUAGAAAAUACCCACCUAUAAAAUACCGGAAUCAUAUCCAAAUUUUUUUUUAACAUAAAGUCGUAUCUAAUUUAAUGUGAAAAUCUUAACACACAUCUAAGAUUAGACAUCUAUAGUGUGACUUUAGUGGUUCAAUAGUGAAAUUGGAUGGAAGUGAUUCAACAAAUCUUGAAUAGACUCUAAUAAAUCUUAGAAUUUGAGUUAGGGGGUUAACCUUUUCUUAAAAAAAAAAAUACUCAAAUAAGCUUUUAAUGUGAGAACUAUAUCCACUUACAAACCUACGUUCAACUCUCAUCUCGUCUAAUAUGGAAUUCUUAGCACUUAUAAAUAUAAUUUUUAACUUAACUAACAUAUCUAAUUUGUGAUGUCCUUAACCACCUUCGUUCCACAUCCAACAUCAACUAAUAGGUAGACACAUUUCUCAAUUUGCACAAAAGAAACAAGAAAAUGCUUGGAUGGUCACAAAAUUUUGGGCAUACACAUCAAAUACAUAUAUCAUUUAAUUAGUUGAAAAAUACACAUUAUUUAAUUCUUUUUUCUUUCUAUAUUUUUUCAAUGGUAUGUUUUUCCAAAAGACCUUGAUUCUUAAAAGUCAAUAACACUAUUUUGAUUAAGAAAAUCAUUGGUUAUACAGAUAAAUGAAUUUCUCACAUACAACCCUACAAAAUUAUUUUAACAAAAUCAACUCUGAUCAACAUUGACAUGAACUUAAACCACAUUAAAACGACCUUCAUAACCAACAAAUUCUCAGCCCUAACUACUACAAUAAGCAAGGUGCAACCGAUAUAAUGUAUUUCCAUUAAAAAAACACAAAAAUCAGUGAGAGAAAUUUAGUGAGGCAAAACAUGAAAUCCUUCUCUAAUUCCAUCACUAAAUUUUGUGACCAAAGAAUUUAUGAGAAAUUUUAUUUUUUUAUAUAUGUCGCUAAUUUCCCUCUCUAAUUUUACUUUUUCUAGUAGUGUUGAGAGACACUAGAUACAAACUUGUGUCACCAAAUCCCCUUAAUCUUAGUUAGCUAUAACAUCUCGAAUUAAUCCAUCACUUUUUGAUAUCCACAAUGGAAAGAACCAAGUAAGGUGAUUUCAUCCAUGCUUAUUCUAAUCUUCACACCAAAAAUUAAAAUUUAAGAACCGCAAAUCCCAAUCUACUUCGUAUCUAAUGAAAAAAUAUAAUUUUAAUUGUCUCUCAACUAUAUUUGUUAUUUUUUUUUUGAAAGAUCUCAACUAUAUUGGUUUUUAUACCAUAUAUAUGCAUAAAAAAUACUAUAUAUAUGUGUUUGUGUCACUUACAGCAGUUGUAAAGAAUUUUCCUCCACCAUGAUAGCUGAUUUUUACUACUCUCAAAAGCUGAUGUCCUAGUAGCAAGAAUUUCAAAAGGAGAGACUCCAUCUUUGUCCUUCGUAGAGCGAAAAAUUGGGUACAAAUACAUUAUUAUAUUUGCCAUACCUGUUGCAAAUGAAACGUUGAUUAUUAACGAGAUUAUUAUAUUGGUAAAUAUUUUUUAUCAAGUUUAGAUUAAAUUUUACCAUAGGAGAAUUCUUAAUUAAAAUAAGUUUAUAAUUUUCACUUUUGAUUAUUUUAAUAUUGACUAAAAAUUAAUAUUAUUAUAUUUUAAACUGCUUUAUGUUUUUGAUUCAGUUCUUUCGAAUAAUAAAAAGAAAAGUAAGAAGAAAAUAAGAGAUGAGAAAGAACUAACCGAACAUUUCUCUAUGAAUUGCAACGUGAAGGAUGUUAUCACGAUCUUUAUUGAUAGCAAUAUUGAGAUCAUUUGUGAAAAACUGAUGUAGAUAAAUAAAGGUCUUUUUAUGGCGUGCAAGCACAGCACAAAAAAGUGGUGUUUCUCCCUUUGCAUUGUUUACUUGAAUCAAAUGCUUCCUUUCACCAUUUUUUCCAAUGAUACAUUCACACAUACUUUUGAAUCCUCUAUAUGCUGCAAGAUGAAGAGGAGUAUCACCUCUUUCAGUCUUUAUUUCAAAACCACUUUGAUCAUCAUGCUUUACUAUUGCAUCUACAAGACGUUUUACAAUGUCUUCGUUGGCAUUACUCACUGCUACAUGUAAUGCUGUUCCUCUUCCCUUUAUUCUUCUCCUGUGAAAAAAUACAUGUUCUUCGUAUUUUUUUAUAACUUCUUCCCAUUUGUCUUCCAUUACAAACUCGCGGAACCCGGCAGCUACAUAUUUGUUGUCACAAAAUAAAAUAGUAAGACAUACAAUAAUUAAUGUCACAUUAAAAAAUUGGAGGAAAAAAUGUCAGAAAUAUUGAACUUUCAACUUAAAGAGCCUGAUAAAUAUAAGGAGAGUUUGGACGUACCCUCUUGAUAAUCAUAAUCGUCUUCAUCUUGAGGCUGAAUCAUAGAAUUAGGAUUCAUUUCGGAAUCAUCUUGAGGCUGAAUCAUAGAAUUAGGAUUCAUUUCGGAAGGUUGAAACUUAAAAAUGAAAAUAAGAAGAAUAAGGAUCAAUGAGAGAUGGGUAGUGGUGCUGUAAGGAACUGAGCAUAUCAAGUGCAAACCUAAUUCCUUUAUAUAAAGAAUGAGAAGCUAUGAAUCCGAUACUUCCUGUAAAGAAAAUGGAUACCCUGAUCCAAUUAUGAGUAUUUUAUAUAUAUUUUUUGUUGGAACACUAGUGUAUAAUGAAAAAAACUUGGAGUAUACUAGUGAGUUUGUGGAGCCUUUGGCAUGUAAACAUCAGGAUGGAGAAACUAGUGUAAAGUGUGAAUUGAAAAUUUUAUGUCCCACAUCGGGUAGAUCACACACUCUAGUAGAAAUCCUCCUUAUAAAUUGAGAGCUCGGGAAUAGUAUUCUUCACUCCAAAACUGAGAAUCGAAUACUCUUCUCUGGUUUUCUCCCCUUCUCAUCUCCCGCGAUUUGUGUUGACGAAUCGUUCUUUUCCUCCUCCUCUUUCUGUGGGCUUCGGAAAAUUGUGGGCUUCGGAAGAGUGGUCUAAGAACCAUAUUGUGGGAUUCGGAAGAGUGGUCUAAGAACCAUAUUGUGGGUUUCGGAAGAGUGGUCUAAGUACCAUAUCGAGGUGUCAUUCUCGAGCGAUUUCUGGCAGUGCAGCCUUUAAUCGUACAGUAAGAAUCUGGGCUGUUUUAUCCUGGAGACGGCGCGGUUGCUAGUCUACCUUGCACAAUUCAGGUAGUGCCGCGAAACGUCUUAAAGAGAGCGACCUGGUCGUGACUCAUCCCGGUAAUAGUUUCAAAAGCUCCAUCGUAUAUUUUCAAAUUAGAAAAAACAACAUUUUUAAGACGUUUCGAAUACGAUACGAUGAGUUCUGAAAAGAUUACCGCGGUUUCAGCUGAUGACUUUAACAAACCGUUUCUGUUUACGGGUAGCCACUUCAAACGUUGGCAGCAAAAGAUGUUGUUCUUCUUGACCACUAAAAAGGUUGCCUACGUUUUGAAGGAAGCUAUGCCUGUAGCACCUACGAGUUCGACUCCUGCUGGAGCGAAUAAUAACGGUAAGGCAGCAGACCCUACUGCUGCUGAGAAAGCUGACCCAGAUAAACAGCUAGCCAUAGAUAUAGCUCUAUGGAAGGAAAAUGACUACCUCUGUAAGAAUUAUAUUCUUAAUAGACUCACAGACCCUCUAUAUGAUUAUUAUAGACUUUGUGAUACUGCUAAACAACUAUGGGAAGCACUUCAGAAGAAGUAUGAUACUGAAGAGGCUGGUGUUAAGAAAUACGCCGUAAGCCGCUAUCUGAAUUUCAAAAUGAGUGAUGAUAAGUCCGUUGAGGCACAAUCACAUGAGCUGCAACAAAUUGCUCACGAGAUCAUAGCUGAAGGGAUGGCACUUCCCGAACAAUUUCAAAUAGCUGUGAUUAUUGAUAAGCUACCUCCUGCCUGGAAGGACUUCAAGAGUCUUCUUAGACAUAAAACUAAGGAGUUCUCUCUUGAAAGUCUGAUCACUCGCCUUCGUAUUGAAGAAGAAGCGAGAAAGCAGGACCAGAAUGAAGAGGUGUUUGUUGUUUCUAACAACAACACUAAAAAGAAAUUUGUAGGUGCUGUUCUGAAGCCUGCUGGCAAACCAUUUAAGAAUCAGAACCGCCCUAUGAAUAAGAAUUCCAACAGGAAUAAGACUGGGAACAAUUCAAGACCCCAGAUUCAACAGCCACCAAAGAAUGAUGCUGCUCCACCUUUCAACUGUUACAAUUGUGGGCAAGCAGGUCAUAUGGCACGCAAGUGCAGAAACAGAACCAACCGACCAGCACAGGCUCACAUGGCUACUGAUGCUGCACCUGAUGAGCCCUAUGUGGCUAUGAUUACUGAGAUCAAUAUGAUUGCAGGUUCUGAUGGCUGGUGGGUGGACACUGGUGCUUCUCGCCAUGUCUGCUAUGAUAGAGAUAUGUUCAAAACAUAUACUGCUUGUGAUGAUCAGAAGGUGUUGUUGGGAGACUCCCACUCCACUGAUGUUGUUGGAAUCGGAGAUAUAGAGCUGAAAUUCACCUCUGGAAAGACUCUGAUACUGAAGGAUGUGUUGCACACUCCUAAGAUUAGGAAGAAUUUAGUUUCAGGUUUUCUUUUGAAUAAGGCUGGGUUUACUCAAAGCAUAGGGGCUGAUUUGUACACCAUCACUAAGAAUGGUAUUUUUGUUGGGAAAGGGUACGCCACUGAUGGCAUGUUUAAGUUGAACAUUGAUAUGAAUAAAAUUUCUUCUUCUGCUUAUAUGUUGUGUGAUUUUAAUAUUUGGCAUUCUAGACUCUGUCACGUUAACAAAAGAAUUAUUUCAAAUAUGAGCGGUUUAGGAUUAAUUCCUAAAAUAUCUUUAAACGAUUUUGAAAAAUGUCAAUUUUGUAGUCAAGCAAAAAUAAAUAAAGAAUCACAUAAAUCAGUAACCAGGAUAACUGAACCUUUUGAAUUAAUUCAUUCUGAUUUAUGCGAAUUAGAUGGAAACUUGACUAGAAAUGGAAAAAGAUAUUUCAUCACUUUUAUAGAUGACUGCUCGGAUUACACACAUGUGUAUUUAAUGAGAAAUAAAAAUGAAGCGCUUGAUAUAUUUAAACAGUAUUUUAAAGAAAUUGAAAAUCAAUUCAAUAUUAGAAUCAAGCGUUUUAGAAGUGACAGAGGUACUGAAUAUGGAUCACAUAUAUUCAAUGAGUAUUAUAAAGAACUCGGAAUUAUUCAUGAAACAACUGCUCCUUAUUCUCCUGAAAUGAACGGUAAAGCGGAAAGAAAAAAUAGAACGUUUACCGAAUUAGUAGUUGCAACAAUGCUUAAUUCCGGAGCAGCGCCUCAUUGGUGGGGAGAAAUUUUAUUGACUGUUUGCUAUGUGCUAAACAGAGUACCCAAAACAAAGAACAAAAUUUCUCCAUAUGAAAUUUUGAAGAAAAGACAACCAAACUUGUCUUAUUUUAGAACAUGGGGCUGUCUAGCCUAUGUAAGAAAACCAGACCCCAAAAGAGUCAAACUAGCAAGUAGAGCCUAUGAAUGUGCAUUCAUUGGGUAUGCCUUAAAUAGUAAAGCCUAUAGGUUUUACGACCUGAAAUCUAAAACGAUCAUAGAAUCAAAUGAUGUUGACUUCUAUGAAAAUAAAUUUCCCUUUAAGUCAGGAGACAGUGGGGGUAAUAGUGGGGGCACUGAUAACUCAGUUCUUGAUCAACCUUCUGAAAUCAUAACAAGCAAUGAAAACAUCGAAAGAGAUGUUAUAGAACCUCGUAGAGGUAAGAGAGCAAGAAUUGCUAAAGAAUAUGGCCCCGAAUAUGUGGCAUAUACAAUAGAGGAGGAUCCAUCAAGCAUCAAGGAAGCUCUGUCUUCAAUUGACGCUGAUUUAUGGCAAGAAGCUAUAAAUGAUGAAAUGGAUUCUCUAAUGUCCAACGAAACUUGGCACCUAACUGACUUGCCUCCUGGAUGUAAGACUAUAGGUUGUAAGUGGAUUUUGAAAAAGAAACUAAAACCUGAUGGGUCAAUCGACAAAUAUAAGGCACGCCUUGUUGCCAAAGGUUUUAGACAAAGAGAAAAUGUAGAUUUCUUUGACACAUAUUCACCUGUAACUAGAAUCACUUCCAUUAGGGUACUAAUCUCAUUGGCGGCUAUCCACAAUUUGAUAGUACACCAAAUGGAUGUAAAAACUGCUUUUUUAAACGGUGAAUUAGAAGAAGAAAUCUACAUGGACCAACCUGAAGGUUUCGUAAUCCAUGGACAAGAGAACAAAGUUUGUAAGUUAGACAAAUCUUUGUAUGGUCUAAAACAAGCACCGAAACAAUGGCAUGAGAAAUUCGACAAUCUUAUGAUUGAGAAUGAGUUUAAGGUGAAUGAAAGCGACAAGUGUAUUUAUUCCAAGUACGAAAAUAACACUUGCACGAUCAUAUGUCUAUACGUAGACGACUUACUCAUAUUUGGUUCAAACCUCAAUGCCAUUAAAGAUGUGAAAUCAUUGUUGUGCCACAACUUUGAUAUGAAAGACCUAGGAAAGGCAGAUGUAAUUCUUGGAAUCAAGAUUACUAGAACUGAUAAUGGAAUUUCCUUGAAUCAAUCUCACUACGUUGAGAAGAUCUUAAGGAAAUAUAAUUACUUCGAUUGUAAACCUGCGAGCACACCUUGUGACCCAAGUGUGAAGCUAUUUAAGAACACUGGAGAUAGUGUUAGACAAACUGAAUAUGCAAGCAUCAUUGGCAGUCUCAGAUAUGCCACUGAUUGUACUAGACCCGACAUCGGCUACGCCGUGGGACUAUUAUGCAAGUUUACGAGCAGGCCAAGCAUGGAGCAUUGGCAAGCUAUCGAAAGAGUCAUGAGAUACUUGAAGAAGACCAUGACUCUAGGACUGCAUUAUCAGAGAUAUCCUGCAGUGCUUGAAGGAUACAGUGACGCAGAUUGGAACACCUUAUCAGAUGAUUCCAAAGCGACCAGUGGCUAUAUAUUUAGCAUUGCUGGAGGAGCUGUUUCCUGGAAAUCCAAGAAACAGACCAUUCUGGCUCAGUCCACAAUGGAAUCUGAGAUGAUAGCACUAGCUGCUGCUAGUGAAGAAGCAAGUUGGCUAAGAUGCUUGCUAUCUGAAAUCCCUUUGUGGGAGAGACCGUUACCAGCUGUGUUAAUUCAUUGUGAUAGUACCGCGGCUAUCGCAAAGAUUGAGAAUCGUUAUUACAAUGGUAAGAGACGACAGAUAAGACGAAAACACAGCACGAUAAGAGAAUAUCUUUCGAACGGAACGGUAAGAGUAGAUUUCGUACGAACAAAUGAAAACUUAGCUGAUCCUUUGACGAAAGGACUAAACAGAGAGAAAGUCGCAAAUACAUCCAGUAGGAUGGGACUAAUGCCUAUUGAUCAUAAGUGAUGGAAACCCGACCUAAAUGACUGGAGAUCCCAAGAACUAGGUUCAAUGGGUAAUAACAAAUCACAAGUGACCGAAGGUUGAGAUAAUAGAAACUCUUAAUGAGAUCUAUACUCCUUAUGGAGUGAAGUACAUAGCUACAGGAGUACUUCUGAUAGACUCACCUAUACGUAUGUAGAACUGAGGCCGGUUCUUAUGGAAUUUCGAGGCAGAAUUCCUAGAGCAUUCGUUAAAACUGGGAUAGACGUGCAAGGCCAUUAACGCACGGGCUUUUUAGAAAACACCUAAGAAAAGGUUGUGUGUGGGUCCUAUGUCUGAGAUAGAGUUCAAUGCUGUAAGCAACUCUUGUUAAUCAGAAUACUACUCACUAUGCAAAGGUUCAAGUUGUUGGCGACACCUUUGUUUACUAGCAAUCUUUAAGAAACGUUUAAAACGUAACUUUCGAAACCAAUUUUGAAUUCAAGUGGGGGAUUGUUGGAACACUAGUGUAUAAUGAAAAAAACUUGGAGUAUACUAGUGAGUUUGUGGAGCCUUUGGCAUGUAAACAUCAGGAUGGAGAAACUAGUGUAAAGUGUGAAUUGAAAAUUUUAUGUCCCACAUCGGGUAGAUCACACACUCUAGUAGAAAUCCUCCUUAUAAAUUGAGAGCUCGGGAAUAGUAUUCUUCACUCCAAAACUGAGAAUCGAAUACUCUUCUCUGGUUUUCUCCCCUUCUCAUCUCCCGCGAUUUGUGUUGACGAAUCGUUCUUUUCCUCCUCCUCUUUCUGUGGGCUUCGGAAAAUUGUGGGCUUCGGAAGAGUGGUCUAAGAACCAUAUUGUGGGAUUCGGAAGAGUGGUCUAAGAACCAUAUUGUGGGUUUCGGAAGAGUGGUCUAAGUACCAUAUCGAGGUGUCAUUCUCGAGCGAUUUCUGGCAGUGCAGCCUUUAAUCGUACAGUAAGAAUCUGGGCUGUUUUAUCCUGGAGACGGCGCGGUUGCUAGUCUACCUUGCACAAUUCAGGUAGUGCCGCGAAACGUCUUAAAGAGAGCGACCUGGUCGUGACUCAUCCCGGUAAUAGUUUCAAAAGCUCCAUCGUAUAUUUUCAAAUUAGAAAAAACAACAUUUUUAAAUAACAUUAGGAGUAUUAUUUUUUAGGGUUAAUGGUGCUUUAACCCUCUAAUAUAAGUCAUUUCCAGGUUUAUCCGCUAUAAAAUAUUUUUUUUUAGAUUUUAACAUAAAAGAUAAGAAAAAUAUAAUUCAAACUUCUCUCAAAAAUGAAGAGUCAAAUGUUUUUAAUAUGUUUUGAAUAACAGAAUAUGCGAGUGUAUAUUUUAACAUAAAAAGAAAGAAAAAAAAAUAUAAUUUAGGCAUCUUUCAAAAGAAGGAGUGCAAUUUACUCAUAAUUUAUUUUAGUUAUUAGACAACUUUUAUGAUGUACUGUAUAAAAAAAAAAACAUGUACAAGAUUUAGUAGACAAUGGACACAACAAACAAAAUAUAAUUUUAUUCAUUAUAAUUUAGAGCAGUGAUGUUUGAACAACCAUUUAAGAUAACUUUAUUUUUUUUUUAUUUUCGUUGAUCAAAAACAAUUAAAAGAGAAUAAAAACAUAAUAUGAAUAUGAGAGAGAAAGUUGUCAAAAUAUUAUCAUAAAAUAAUUAUACAAAUAUCAUUUCUCUAAAAUUUAUAGUGCGUGUGAUAAUGAAAACAUGUGUUUCUUGUGUGUUGCAAUUGAUCACGUCUUAGGUAAGCAUAUUUUAAUCUUAAUAUGUAAUGAAUAUCAGAUAUAGUGCGUGUAAUAGUGAAAACAUGUGUUUCUUGUGUUGCAAUUGAUCACAUCUUCGGUAAACAUAUUUUAAUCUCAACAAGUAAUGAAUAUUUUCCAAAAUAAAGAAAAGGGUCACGAUCGUGUCUUGCUUUAUUUUUAUUCCUUUCUUCACUCUCGUGAUUUUAUCGUUGCAGCUUUAAACUGAGUGAAACAACACAUAUAUGACAAAAGCAAAGUGCAAAAUGUUCAGUGCUGAGUGAAACUUAAGCUUAAGCAAAAGCUAUAUUCUUUCUCACCUUUUGUCUCUUUAGCAUUAUAAGGCUUCGUAUCUCGUCGUGUUUCUCAUGGCCUUGGGAGCAAUAUUACUAUGUUUGCUUUCAUUUUUAGAUCAGCAAAGGUGAUUUAAAAGACAUGUAAUUUAGACUUUUGUUUUGGUUGUUGAAGAUGCACAUUACUCAUGUGAUGAGGAAACUUUUAUGUGUCAUUUCAUUCAUGAAGAAGAAGAACAAGUGUCAUUACACAUGAGUUUGCCUAUGAUUCCAAUAUUGUUACCUACAAAUUUAUGUACCCCAUGUGCAUGACUAACUUCAAUGCUCAGUAAAGUAUAUGAAUGAGUUUGAACUACCAAUAUUGCGAUUGAAAAUUACUAGCUGUAUCUCUAUUUAUUCGUUCUUUUAGUGAAAAAAAAAAAGCUUAAUACAAGUUAAAACAUAUACUAAUUUUAUUUUUCUAAAUAUAAAUAUCGCUAACUAAUAACUUGUUUUGAUAGAUGAAAAGACAACAUUAAGAGCAUAUGUUUGCUUACUUCAGAAGUUCAAGAGUACGAUAAUUUUUAAAGCUUGUUGUGGAAGAUUUAGAAAUAUUUACUAUUACAAUUGUAUAGCAUAACCAGAAAGAUUUUGACCCAAAUAUAUAGUUCACUCAUUCUACUAUAAUUCUUUCUAUAUGUGUGUUUCAUGUGGAUUGUUAUUUUUGCUCAAAAGUGUGGUCAUUUUUUAUAGACUAUCUGUGUGUUCCAUGUGGAUUGUUAUUUUUGCUCGAAAUUGCGAUCAUUUCCAAACCUUCCUUUAUUAUUAUUGGUAUAUACUUUGUGAAACCACUUUGAGCCUCCAUGCAAAUUUUAUUUAUGUUACUUAUGUGACUUGAAUCAUGUCAGAAGUUUUGAACCCUACAAUGAUACUUCGAUUUGAAUUAUUUUAGAGUCAGAUAUAUUAGUGCAAUACUUAUCAUGGUUUCAAAUUAAGUUUCAGAUUGCUCGUUGAAAUUAGCAACAUCUUAAGUUUGGGUUGAGGUACCAAUAAUACUUGGUUAUCAAAAUGUACUUGCAAAAGUACAAUAAUCGUAAUUAGGGUUUAUAUUGUAUUGGUCAUUCCUUGAGAAGGCUAUCAAGGGCUGUAUUUAUAGCCCUCUAUGAGCCUGGUUUGUGGUUAUUUAGGCUAUAAGUAACGAGGGCAAUUAUGUAUUUAGGCUGCCUUCUAGAGGUUUUAGAAAUAGGUUGAGGCAGCGCCUUAGGGAGGGUGCGUCUUAGGCCUUAGGGCCUUUAUGGAGGGCACUAAGUCCUUUGGGAGGGUCUAAAAGCCCUUUUGGAGGUCUUUUAGAGAUAUAUUGACGGUCCACAUUCCCCCAAGCACGAGUGUUGGGACAAGGCGAAGUGAUUAAUUUGCUUUAAAAAAUUUGUUUAUGCUUUGAUUAUACUUCGUGUAGGCCUUUGGGGUGCUAUCAUCCGAAUUUGGAGAGCCCCCUAGGGUGAUUCCACUUAUUUUCUAAGCCCCCCCAGAGAGUAUACAUUCAAUUUGUCUUAUAGGAUGAUCACUCCCAGCCCCCCAAGCACGAGCUUUGGGAGAAGGCGAAGUGGUUUGUGAUGGCGUGAUGAGUUGAGUCACCUGUGGUGAUUUUCAAGGGCGGGAUUGUUGAAGAAUAUAAGGCGAGUCUUUUGAUUUAUCAAGAGAUCUAACAUUUCAGAUCUCGUGACCUUUCGAUGAUGUUGACGUGAUUUAAUCGUGGAGUUUUCCUCCACGUGUCUCCACUCAUGGACAAAGGUGAGAGUGUUUUUUGAGGUGGUUUAAAUUUGCUUCCUAUAAAAACGUGUUUCCCUUCAUUUCCUCUAUUUCAUUUCCACUUUUUUCGCUUCUGAUUCUUCUGUAUUCGUGCGAAAUUUGCUAGCUGCUUUCUGGAUUUUCAAUCUUGAUCUCUUCAAACUUCUCAAGUACUCUUUCCUUUCGUCUUUUUUUUAGCUUUUUUCAAAAUUUCUUAGCUUGUCAUUUAGGAAUGGUUCUCAUUAAGAAAGGACUACUUAAGGCAUGGAACACGGCCGAAUGGUUUGAUUGAUUGGGACGCGUACGAAUAAGGGCUUUUCGGCCAUAGGGUUUUGAGUGAGUUAUCUAGUGAUAGUGAUACCAGUAGUGAUAGUAACUGUGUGUUUCUCUAUGCUACCUCAGGAGCAGAUCAUAAGGGGGAAGUUUGUCUGGAGAUAUGUCCCUACACGUCUUCGUCGUCUUAUUCUAAAAUAUCCUUGCGAGCUUGAGAUGAAUGAAUUUACUGAAGAGGUUCUCCGGGAGUACUCGUUGUAUCUGGAGGUAGCAGCAGUCAAUUACUUUCGGAGUAAAUUGGACAUCUCUUCCUCAGAGAACGAGGAGGACGUGGUGGUGCUGCCUUGUCAGGUGGGCGAGAGAGUACGCGACCAACGGUUGGCGAACACCGUGGAUGAAUCUUUUCUGAUGUAUAUGGCGGUGCUGGAGGAAUUCGGGGUAACAAUUACUUUCACGGCGUUCGAGAUGGAUGUGUUGAUGCUCUUGAACGUGGAACCGUCUCAAAUACGUCCUAAUAGCUUGGCGUUUAUCCGUGGUUUUGAAAUUCUGUGUAAAGCUUUAAGUUUGGAACCUUCUGCUGCGUCUUCCUUCAUUUCAAUGGGACUAAAGAUGUCAAUAAAGGGAUGUGGAUUUCGAUUAGUGCCCAUCCUGGAAAAAAUACUCUUUCCUCCGUACGCUUCUAAUUUCAAGGAGUGGUGAGACUCAUUUCCUAGGGUAGAGGGGGCGCCUGAGUGUUCCAGUGCUUCAGUGAUGGUGGAAGGGAAACCUAAGUUUCCUUUGUGUUGGACUUAUGCGUUUGUCGUAGUGAUGGGCUAUGACUUUAGUAAGAUGACGCCAUACGAACGGAUAUGGUAUGUUAUUUGGAGAAGUUUCCAGUUAUGGACCUUCAUGAUCUUCUGAACCGAGAGGGUUAUAUCAAGAUCCUUGAGCCUUAUUUGUGUGUGUUUUGAUUUUAUUCUCAUGUUGAGAAGUAUAAGGACGCUACUUAAGAUGUUGAGAAGUGGAAUCACAAAGUGACGGGCAUGAAGGCAAGGUUGAAAGAAGCUUUGAAAGAGAAGAAGACUGCAGAGAAGGCCACCAGUGAUAUAUAGAGUGAGAAAGAGGUUGUGGAGCUGGAGAGGGAUUCUUGGAAGAAAAAGGCUGGUGAACUUGAAGGGGACUAGCUACUACUAAGACCUCCGUUGAAGAUGGCAAAGGGGCGCUUGCCCUAUACUUCGACAAUGGCUUUGAGCGUGCCUUGGUGCAGGUUCUCCAUUUUCACCCUGAUGCUAAAGUGGAUGAGUUGGAUCCUUUCAACGUCUUGAUAGAUGGGUAGUUAGUGGACGAAGAGUGAUGCCGUUGUACCGCCUUGCUUUGUAAUUUAUAUUUUUUGUUGCUUUUGAUAACUUUGGCUUUUUGUUUCUUUUGGGAAAUCUGUAACUUAAAUGUACUUUGGGAAUUCAUUACUCCUCUUUCUUCCCUCAUUAAAUUGGAGGUCAACUUCGUUCUUUUCUGUUAUACUCCUUCUCUUAACUUGGAAAAAAGCAUCGCCUGCUAUCCUACUUUCUACUUCUCUUCAUGCUCCUAUUAAAAAUUUGAACUGAGUCAUGCAUAUUUUAUUCAAACCAAUGGGAGGUACAGAUACCGGAAAUGCAAACCAAUACUUGAGGUACCCAGCAGGGGCUGAAUAUAUUUCCACAAAGCCGAAGAAUUCCAGAAUUUUCAUUGUUUAAAAUAAUGGCACUCCAGGAAUGUUUCGCUAUCUUAUUCGGAACUUAGGUGUGAUAUUCGACCUUUGAAGCUUAAUUCUCCCAUUAUGGGGGACAACAAUAAUGGACGUAUUUUUACUGGCGAUCUAAUCGUAAUCUUCAAGCGUCACAAUUAUAACCGAUUUGGUUUCAAGUAAGAGUAGCUUCGCCUCAUCUUUCUUGGUCUUGAUCUUCCUGUUGUUUACCUGAAUAUCAUCUCGAAGUAGAAUGCUUAUCGGUUAAUCUAAAUAAUAAUAUACUGAUUCCGAGAUUGAUAGCCACACAUACAUGAUAAUUUAAACACUAGAAUUAGGUUAAAAUAUAUUUGAUUUUAUUAGGUUUUAUCAUGACGAAGCUGCUAAUGGUAACAAACAGAUAGCCGGUAAUACAUCCUUGUAUCAAAAAGGUUUGAUCAACAAAAUGUUUUUGACUUUGAACAUACAAUUAUCUUAUAACUUGGUGCCCAUAUAAUUUGGUUUAUAUGAAAUCGAUAGGCUUGUAACUUCUUCCACCGAUAAAAUAAAUAAAUUAUGAUGGCUAGAAAGGUAUUCCACAUGCAUCAAUUAAAAUCUACCCAAAAUGUAUGUGCAUAUAUGAAAGGGGCGUGUGUGUUCAUUUGAAUAAUCAUAAUGAACAUGCAUCAUGAACGGCAACUCGAAGCAAUUCAAUUUUCUCCUUCCAAACAGAUUUCUCCAUCAUUUGAAUAGAGCAUAAUUUUAGAAAGAUAAAUCCUGAUUUAGUUAUAAAUCGUUGCUUCUAAGGAGCUGUUCGUGGAUCUUGAGGCCGGGCGAGGUUUGGUCUUCGCCAGUCAUCAUUUUUUCUCUAGAUUGCCGGAGGUUUUUAGGUUUAUGAGUGUGGCCUAGGUUAGUUUUAUCGAGGUACCCAGAGACGGAUGCCAACUGUACUAGCAGUGAGUACAAUAUUAGAAAGUUUAGUUUUUCAUGAUUCCUUGAGAAUGCUCUCAAGAGGGGGCAUUUAUAGCCCUUCGUUGGCAUGUAAUUCGAUGACUUAAGCCCCAAGCAGCUUGGGCACUAAAUCACUCUAGAGCAUUCUAGAUCUUUCUAAAAGCUUGUUAAGACGGCGCCAUUAGGGGAACGCGAUAGGACUUCAGGAGCCCUUCUGGAGGGCAUUUGUGCCCUUAAGGGUAGAUUGACGGUCUAGGAGAGCAUUAGAGAAUUAGGGUUACAAAAGAAAAAGAGAAAAAGAUAGCAAAGCAAAAGUAAAACUAGGGUUGCAGAGAAAAGAGACAUAAAUGCAUAGUGAGAAGAUUAGAAAGAUUCAAUUGUUGUAAGGGGGGAGUUUUAUUCAAUCUAAGUGUAGUAUAUUCAUGUGGGUAGAGAUGAGUCUUUAACCUCAAGUGUUUUUAUUUAUUCUUAUAAUGAAUCCUUGUUAUAGUGUAUUCUUUUGUGUUCUUAUAACUGUAAAUUUGGUUGUAGUUUAUAAAUUGUGAUGGAUCUUUGUUAAAUUUCGUUCUCUUAUGUUGCUGUAAUUAUAUAUUUGAUCUAUUGAGAUUAGGAACAAUUUUGAUUUCAAAUUUAAUGUACUGUGGGUAGAUAUAUAUAUAUAUAUAUAUAUAUAUAUAUAUAUAUAUAUAUAUAUAUAUAUAUACACGAUAUCGAUGCAUAUUGCUUCAUCGUAGCCUAUUGUAAAUCGGUGAAGAAAUGAAGCCUUUGAAGGUGACGUCAUAAGCUGAAGAAUCUAAAUUAGUUUGUCGUCUUUUGAAGGAAUGUCACUAUCUGACUCUGAGUAGUGCAUUUUGUGUUCUUUUUACCACGUGUAGAAACAAACAAACAAAUUCAAAGACAAAGACAAUGCAACAAAUCAUUCUAUUUGAAGCAAAUGAAUUUUGAAUGACUACACAACGACUCUAACCUUUUGAUGCGCUAACACUCUUCAACAACUGCUCUCAGAAUAUCUUCUAUAGAUGGACCUGAGCAGUUGAAGAAUAAAUAUAAUACUCUGAAUUUUUACAAGUGUUCUAACUAUGUCAAAAUUAAUACCGCACAAAUUCUUAACGAAUUUCUUAUAAUAGAAAUUCGUAAGUGUAAGAGUACAUUUGAACUUUAUUAUAUUACAUCUCUAAUUGUAUAUCAAGUGUAAACUCCAACACACAUUUUGCUUGAUUAAAUUAGAUUGUAGAAGUCUCUUGUGUGAUUGAGCCAUAUAAGUCUCUUUCUCGUGUAAUUGAGCAAAGGAAGUCUCUUGUUUAUGUGUUUGAGCAACUUGUAAUCUAUGAGAUUAUAGUAGAAAUCCCUCUGAAGUGCAAUGGACAGGACUAUUUUUGGUUUGUAGUAGGAACCAAUAUAAUUUCCAUGUGCUCUCUCUCUCUAUCUCUCUCGCUCUCCCCUCUGUGAUAAUCCAUCCACACAUAAUUUAUCUCAUUCUCCCAUAUCUCUCCAUCCAAAUCACUCUUGAGAUACAAAACUCAUAAUUUAGAUACGACAAAAUUCAUAUAAUCCUCAUCACACCUUAUAAUGAUACAAAAAGAGUCAAAUCACACUACAAUCAUACCAGUACCCUAAACAUAAUAAACACAGAACUCCUUAUUCAAGUACAAACCAAACUCAUUAGUUUCAAUCCACAAAGCAAUACAAUAAAAUAAACACCUCUACAACUUAACACCCUUGAUACUUGGUGGUGGCACCUUCUUCAAAAUAACUUUGAGAAGAUCAAUAUAUAACGGAAAAUGCUCAACUGCAUAGAAUGUGAUAGGCAAGCAAAUGGCAAUAUAUAAAUAGAACAAGAUACCACUCUUGGUAUAUUUAUCUGUGAGCACAAAGUAGUGUCCACCAAUGAAACAAAUGAACAUGGCAACAAUGGCUACGAAGAGAGAACUAAACCCAAAAAGAAGUUUCAAUGGCAAGUUUCUAUUGAAGUCUUCGACUUGUUUUCGAGAAGUGAGUAAAGCAAGGAACAUGAUGAGUGCAGUGGCAGAGAAGUAAAGUCCAAUUAACGAAGAUAUAGAGAAUACUUCGAAUGCAGGCUGUCCUUCGAAUGUUGGUUUUCCAGUAUUCUGAUUACCUCCGGGGACGCUGCCUGAUGUAGCAAAGGAGACGCCUGCGACGAGUGCCGCUACAACUGAGCAUGACUGUGAUGUGUCUUUCAACCACUCAAUGCUUUUAUCUAGAAGUUCUUUGUGUUCCUCCUUAAAGAUUUCACCUGGGGUUUUUCUAUCGUUGUUGCUUCUAUGAUGGUAAUGGUCUGGUACUAGUCUUUUAAUGUACUAUACAGUACCAUUCACAUAUAUUAAGACAAAAAAAUGUUAAUAUUUUUAAGAGAAACAUAAAUAGAUAUUCCUAAUAUUUAAAUAAAAUAUAUAUUUUUAAAUGUAUGUUACAAGUACAAUUCAUUUUAUUUUUAAAGAAGUACAAUUCAUUUAAUUUGAUGAAGUUUACAUAUGACAUGAUUUAAAAAUUAAUUGACAGUUUUUAGAUCUUGAAAAUACAGUGUUUUUUUUUAAGAGGAUGAAAAUAGAAUAACUAUAUCAAAGAGUUACUUUGAAUUAAACAUGGAUCAAGUAAUGUAUCGAUAGAAUGACUACGUAUUUUAGGGUUUGAAUGGGAGCUUCUACGAAGAAGUCAGGAAAAUGACUUUUUCGGUGAAAUCGUUUGAAUAGGCCAAUCAGAUUUUAAGUGAUGACACGUCAGAAAUCCUAAUAAUGUUACAGUGUAGUGCGGUCUACAAUACCGUUAGUAAAGAAAAACUUUAUUUCAUGAUCUUAAUGGUUAGAUUUACUUGAUCUUUAUGUUAUUGUGGUACAACAUCUACACAUUAAUUUUCUUCUAGUACCAAUUCUCUCUCCUUUUUAUUUCUCUUUCUUUAUUUAUUUAUAUUCUCUCUUCCAGAUUUUUAUUAAAUCAACAUCUUCAUCUUUCCUUCAUCUUCUUCAUCAUAUCUUCAUCAACUUAUUCAUCAUCUUCAUGAGAGAGAGAAAAAACCCAGAAAUUAAAAAAAAAUGAAAUUACAUAAUAAAAAAAAACAUUACAAUUAAAUACAUUUCCAUAAAAACAAUUCCAAUUUCAAUUCCUCAUUUCCCAAAUUAAUCCCCUAAUUAAGCGUAUUUCUCCAAUUUUAUCUUAACGAAGACCUAAAUAUAAUUUCAUCCCAUGUAUUUUCUGAUUUGUUUUUGCUCUUAUCCACCGUGCUUUUGACUUGUGAAAGAAAAAUCAAUUUCAUAACAAAAAUGAUACUAUUUAGAUCAUUAUAUUGUCCUUUGUAACACCUAUUUGCUAAAAAAAAUUAUUACGUAAGUUUUACAUUUAAUCUUUCAGUUUUUCGUACUAUAAACGAUAUAAACACUUAAUCUUUCAGUUUUCAAAGAUGAGUGAUAUGGUAUGAAAAAGUAUAAUAACCCAUAAAUAUGAGUCACAAGUUGUUCAUUAUAAACUUACAAGAGUCUUUGGAAUUCCUCUCAAAUUAACAAAAAAAAGUCUUUGGAAAUGUAAAACUCUAAAUCAGUAUAUAUAUUAGUUUUAUUAAUAUUAGCUAUUUUAAUUUUAUUUUUAAUAAUUUUUUUUGAAAUAAUUUUUAAUAAAAUUAUAAUUAGGUAUCUACUACUACCUCCGUUCCUUUUUAAGUGUCACUUUUGGAGAAAAUUUUUGUUCCUCUUUAACUGUCACUUUCAAAGUUCAAUGCAACAUUAAAUGUUGUUUUACCAAUAUUGUCCUUAGUUAUUUAUUGUGGAGAGAGAAAUAUAUGAAAUGGGAUAUUAAAUGAAUAAGGUCAGUACAUCUUAUUGCAUCAAAAGUGGUAUCAAUUGUUGAUUGUCUUGAUUUAUGUAAAAUGUGACAAUUAAAAAGGAACGGAGGUAGUACAAUAUUAAAUAAAAUAAACGUCAACAUAAUAUAAUCAACCAGGUCAUGAAAUAUGACCUUAUUGGAAUAAGAACGAAGUAGAAACUGAAAUUUCAGAAAUCGAAAUCUUUGAUGUAAGUCGAUUUAACGAACUAUCUCAUUAGAAACCUAGUCAACAUGGAAUGACAUUGCUCCGACAAUCAAAAUGGAUCCAACCAACUAACGGUAUCAGAUAUAAUCAAUCAGACCGUUGAAUAUGUCCAUAUUGAAGUAAGAAUGAAACACGAACUGGAAUUUUGAAAAUCGGAAUCUUAAAUGUAAGUCGAUCUGACAAACUAUCACAUUAGAAAUCUAGUCAACAUGAAAUGACAUUGCUCCCACGAUCAACUUAAUUAAUAAAAAUAUUACUAAUGAUCACAUUCUUUUUUUUUUUACUAAAAUUAUCACAUUCUUAAAAAGUGAAUGGCUAUUCGACAAAAAAUAUUAGUAAUGAUCACAUCAAAAAAAAAGUUAUGAGUUUUUAAAAUUUUAUCAUAUCGAUAGAUAAAAUUUACAACAAGUGUAGUGCAAAUAUUUAAAAGUGUUUUUCAUAUAAAAUAAAAAUUAUUUAAUAAGAACACUUAUUAAUGUUGAUAUUUUGAAAUAGUCAUAAGUUUUCAAAAUUUUAUCAUAUCGACUUUCUAAUAUCGGUACAUAAAAAAUUUCAAAAAAUAAAUAAAUUUCUUAUGCAGAUAUUUUUAAAAUAGUGAUGAACUAUUAAAGUUUUAUCUUUGAUGCACGUCGAUCUGACAAACUAUCCCAUUAGAAACCUAGUCAACAUGGAAGGACAUUGCUCAAACGAUUAAAACGUACAAAACCGACUAACGAUAUCAAAUAUAAUCAAUCAGACCGUUGAAUAUAACCUUAUUGGAAUAAGAACGAAACAGGAACUGAAAUUUCAGAAAUCAAAAUCUUUGGUGUAAGUUGAUCUGACAAAAUAUCAUGUUUGAAACCUAAUCAGCAUGAAAGGAUAUUACUGCGACGAUCAAAAGAAAUUCAACCGACUAACACUAUCAAAUAUACUCAAUCGGACCAUUGAAUAUUACUUAUUGAAUAUGACAUUUAUGAAGGAGAUGUCUUAAGACACUUUUUAAUGAUUACAAAUUAAAAAAUUAUUCUUUUUAAAAAAAUCAAAUAUUUCAAUUUGCAAUGCAUUGAAUAUUGGGUUAAAUGUGUUUUGAUCUUUAUAAAUAUUCUAAUUUUUCAUUUUAGCCUCUUUAGAGUUAUGAGACUAAAAUGAAAACAACAAGUAACUUAGUGUACCAAAGGUUCAAUUAAGUUAAAAAAUAAUAAUUCAAUUUAAUUUCCGUAUAUAUUGCAAACGUACAAGAUUUUCAUAAUAAAUUGAUUGUGAUUCAUUGGUUAUAAUGCUAUACUUGUAUCUUGAGGUUCCUGGUUCAAUCCAUCAUACUAAUGAAACUCGUGUUUAAUUUUUUUUUCCAGCGCUUUUUUUUAAGCAAAACAAAAAUAAAAUCAACCUUGGCAUGGAAUCAAACUCGCAACCUUGAAGCGUUUUUAAGUAAAUUAAACCACUGCAACGUGUGCAUUUAGUGUACAAUGUUUUCGUUCUUGCUUAUUUAUAAAAUAAAUCUGAUAAAAAAAGUCAUCAUUCCAGCCGGGUCACUUUAACCCGGUUCAGAUAUUCGAAACCCGAAAUCAAACCCGACGAUUUAGAGCAAUUUCAACGUCGAAAAUGAUGAUUAUAUAAAUUGUUUUCAAUACUAUUCUCCUUUACUUCCCACCUAUAUGAAUUCCAAAUCAAGUAUUUGAAAAAAGUUGCGUGUUGUUCAUACAAUCCUUACACCGUCGUCGGAUUAUUGCUGCCAUCGCCGACGGUUAUCCUCCCAUCUUUGUGCCUACGACGCUGGAUUUUACAACAUAGAUUUGGAUUUUUUUUUUUUUUUUUAAAGCAUAAAUCUGGAAAUUUUAAUAACCCAAAAAAAACUGGAUUUUUUUUAAUUUUUUUCCGUUUAUUAAACGCUUCUACUUUAGUCAAAUAAGUUUGUAAUAUUCAACAAGCUAGUGGAUGAGACUCGCCAACGUCAUAGUUGAUCGGCGUGAAUUUUCUUCUAUUUGGCUCAGUUACACUAGAUGUUUUUUGACAUGCUACGUCACUGACUUGUGAAUAACCAAAUGAUGCUCUACUUGUUUCUAUUUCAUGUACUCUUAAUUGAAUUCCAGUAAUGUGAUUGCUAAAAAAUUUAAAAUCAAUUCAGGUCUGUGGAGAUAAGUUCAAAUUGCGUUGCGCAGGAGAUUAAGCCAAUCCAUACUUCACGAAAUAACACAGAACUGGAAAUUUUAAUUUUUGGAGGUGGUGGCGGCGGCCAUCAUCAUGGUGGUGGAUAUGGUGGACGGGUUUUAUGAACAGUUUAUCAUAGAAUAGUAAAAAAUUAUAAUGCAAAACAAUAAAUAAAUAAAUUGGAAUAAAUGGGUUGUUGAAACUUGAAAUAGAAAGAAGAAAAGGUGAAAAAAGAGAAAGGAAUUAAAUAUAGUGUGAAAGGCAACACAAUAAGACUAGUGAGGUGUUUAAUCCGAUGGUUCAAAAAAUCUAAUAAAACUAGUCUACGGUAGAACAUAUUGAGCAGAUGCACAACACAUAUUAUGCAACAAUAAACACACAUGACAUAUGGCGCAUUAUUAUUGGAUGUAAGAUAACUUCACCAAAAAAGUCAAUUGAAUAACUUCACCAUAGAAUUUCCCUUGAAUUUUAUUUAUUGAUGGAAAUAAAGUUAGAUUUUGAUUUUUUUAUAAUGAACAAAGAUAGAUUGUUUGAAGGGAUUGCCACAUUAAUUAAUAGUUAAUACUCUCCAAAUCCUUAAAAGAAAAAAGAAAAAAACUCUCCAAUUAUUAUCAACGGUAAAAUAUAAAAAAAAUAAAAAUUGUAUCAUAAAUUUGUACUAUAUAAAAAAAAACUCUCCAAUUAUUAUUUUCCUUGAAAAUUUCUUUAUUAAAAAAAUUAUAACAAAAACAUAUUACACUAUAAAAAUAUAUUUUAAAAAAGCGAUAACAAACCGGCCCUUAAUGACCAACUACACAAACUUGGAACAAUAAUAAAUAAAUUAACUAAAAGUUUCGUCUGACUUUUUUUCUACUUCUCUAGAUUUUUUUAAGAAGAAGUAUGUCAAACACAAUAUAAAUUAAGUUCUUAAUAAAAAAAUAAAAAAAGUUUUUUGGGAAUGGAAAAAACUAAAUGGAAGGAACUUUGAAUAAAAUGUAUUGAAACCUACUUUACAACCACUUUUAAUCAGAGAUUAGUUUUAUGGUCUCUAUUUUGAUACAUAACCCUAUGUUGAAAUUAUAAGAUAUAAGAUAAUUGAUACAGUUUUGCCUUAAAAAUAUCAUAUGAUCUUUUUUCAUAUACAUGCAUGCAUAAUAUGUAUGUGACACGUUCGUACGUACCUUGUACCACUUGAUGUCCCACAUCAUUUGCAUGGCCGCACUAGAUAUCCUCCAAGCAUUGUUUUCGUUGUGUGUUGCUGUAAAUGCUGCUAAGUGUAAAAUGGUGUUUUCAUUGAUAUCAACUUGUUGAUUUAUGCUCUGAAAGGUUUCCAUAGAAAGCCUCUUCCACAACCCUUCAACAACUUGUGGCUGUCUAUAUUUCACUGCUAUAAGUAAUGCAUUUUCGUUGUCAGAGUUAGUUUCAUGGAUGACACUUUUUAGUUUAGAUUCAAGCGCAAGCAUGAUUUCAGUUAU
rnacentral:lncRNA from 1 species